AGCAUUCUGCACCUCAAAGACGUAUAUAUACAGGUUUGGAAGCAACCCCUAGUCUCUCUCUCUCUGGCGUGGGACGCGCCACAGCAUGUAUCUGCUGAUUGCUGCGCGCUGGGCAUGUUGGGUAAUUCGUGGGCCAGCAGAGGGAAGACACCAUUGUGGUGAUACUCUACAGAUUACAGCGUGCAGGUAGCAUUUCAUGAAUCAAGGAUGCUCCAGACUCCUUGGCCUGUGGCAAAGAGAAAGGCAAAUGGUCAUAGAAAGAAAAGUCACAGUUUUGCAGUUAAACAAGUUGAUCAUGUUGCUGCAGACCACUCCAAUUCAACUAGCAGCACACCAGGUCCACCUACUAGCUCCACCUAUCAAUCAUAUUCCUUAUUAUCCUGGGAUAUUACGACCUUCCAGCUAUCAGCAUCAUGACCUUUGCCAUUGAGAGGAUGAUUGAGAGAUUUGUUCAACCAUCUGAUCAUGAACCUAGCCAAGCCAUGAGAUUGAAUUUGAUCAUCAAUCAAUGUUUGAAACCAACUUUAUACAUCCAUGGCAAAGAAAUAAAUUCUGAUCAUUUGGACCGGUUUUCCACACUAUCGUCCUGUGAAAGACAUCCAGAAGUUACAGUCCAAACUGGAGUGAUAGGACAAUUGCAAGGGACACUUUGAGGCUCAGUACAUAUCCAUGGUGCCCUCGGGUGUUUUCAAGAGUUCAAGUUGUGUCUCUGCUGUUGGGUACCGGGAAGCUAUCCAUGCCAUCAGAGGAGACAUUGCAUACGAGUCAACAAUAUGUUCAACUAAUUACUGUCGACUGGUUCAAUCAAAGAGGAGAUGCAAACACUGUGACCUGUACAGAAAUACUCUGACGAAGUAAGGAUUUACGUUAAAAGCCUACACUGUGUCAACAUUUUCUCUGAAGAAAACAGCCACAAUACUACGAACAACAUUCGUUUUGUUAAAACUAUUAAAAUGUUAAAAAAUGAAAUGUGAUCAAUUCAAGCAGACGUUGACCGACUUAAAACGGGUGCUUGAUCAAAACAAAAGGACUUGUUAAGCUGCAGUGACAACGAAGAACUCCUAGAACUUGUGGAAAAGUACACACAUGAUGUCGAGAGACGUUAUCCAGAUGAACCUUCUGCUCAAAGGCUCUUCUGGGACCAACAGCUAAAGUAUGCUAAACUCAAAAACAUCAGCGAUGAUGUGGCACCCUAUGAUGGUAAAGUGGUGUUUGUCAGAAAGGUUACAGUGUAGCCAGAUAUUCUGGAUUCAUUGCUCUUCCAAUAACUCGUACCCUAUUUGACUAUUCACAUGUCUUUCCGAGUACUUGUGGCUUUCAGGAAAAAUUUACUGAACAUCUGAUAGAACAGGCAGAAAACUGAAAUGUACAAGGAAGAAUGGAAAUGAUGGGAUCGUCAGAAGGACUGGUUUAUGACAACAAAAGUAGUGAGUUAGUUGGAGCUGAACAAAACCGGGAAUGACAUCAGAAAAUCUGCUAAGUGACAGUGCAAAAUCCAUUCUUGUUGUUGUUCUGGCGAGAGGUCACAACAUCAGCGAUUUACAGGACGCGAAUUCCUGCGUCCUAAACGCAUAAAAAUGGACAAUGGAGGCAACAAAAUAUAUUAGUGCAUCCACAGGCAUGCAGAAAAAGUCCAAAUACUUUUUGUUUAAAAUUCCAAUCAUGUAAAAAUAACAUAUAAUAAUAAUAAUAAUGUACAAAAUAUAUAUAGCGCCUUAUUUGAUGUGCAGCUACAUCACUCAAGGCGCUUAACAGUCAAAUUGGUGGCUAUUGAGCUUAUUCACACUUGAACAGAUAGGUCUUAAUGUUCUUUUUGAAGUUGGUGAUUGAUGUUUCUGUUCUGAGACCGACUGGGAGACUAUUCCAUAGGGUACUUGCUGUCUUGUGGAAGCACCUCUCUCCAUACCUAGCUGUGUGUUUUCUAGGUACUGUGAGAAGAGAGGCUGACUCAGACUGUAGAGAUCGAGUCGGAUUAUACGGUGUGAUGAGAUCCUGUAGGUAUGCUGGAGCAGUUCCAUGCAGGGCCUUGAAGGUGUAAGUUAAUAUUUUAUACUGACAACGGAGGUGUACUGGUAGCCAGUGCAGGGCUUGGCGAACUUCCGUCACGUGUUCCCAUGUCCUGGAACGGGUGAUUAGUCUCACAGAGGCAUUCUGGACUCUCUGUAGUCUGCGCAUGAGAGACUUGGGUAUUCCUGCAAUUAGUGCAUUCCCAUAGUCCAGGCGUGAUGUAACCAGAGAAUGGACCAGCUUCUUACAGGUUUCUUCAUCAAUGUAUUUUCUUAUCUUACUGAUGUUUCUGAUCUGGUAGAAACAUGAUCUAGAGACAGCAUUUACUUGUCUUUCCAUAGUAAGGAAUUUGUCUAAAUAAACACCGAGGUUCUUCACUUCAUCAGUGGUGUGGAUGUUGUGGGUACCAACAUGGAGUUCCAGAUCACGGUGAACAUGAAUUAGCUACUAGCUGGGUUAUGGUAUUAUUUACAAUUUAAUUACUGUAACAAUUAAUAUAAUGAUCAUGAUACACAAUACACUAACAGUAUUAAUAAUAUUAUUUAAAUGUCUGGGACCCCUUUAUUGUUGUCCAGGACCCCUGAAAAUGAAGAGUACGUGUCCCAGGGACCCUCAAAUACAGGACUCAAGGUAAAUCCCUGCUACAUC